GACGAACGCUGGCGGCGUGCUUAACACAUGCAAGUCGAACGGAAAGGCCCCUUUGGGGGUACUCGAGUGGCGCACGGGUGAGUAACACGUGAGUAACCUGCCCUUGACUUCGGGAUAACUUCAGGAAACUGGGGCUAAUACCGGAUAGGAAUCCUUGCUGCAUGGUGGGGGUUGAAAGCUUCGGCGGUUUUGGAUGGACUCGCGGCUUAUCAGCUUGUUGGUGGGGUAGUGGCUUACCAAGGCUUUGACGGGUAGCCGGCCUGAGAGGGUGACCCGCCACAUUGGGACUGAGAUACGGCCCAGACUCCUACGGGAGGCAGCGGUGGGGAAUAUUGCACAAUGGGCGGAAGCCUGAUGCAGCAACGCCGCGUGCGGGAUGACGGCCUUCGGGUUGUAAACCGCUUUCAGCAGGGGCGAAGCUUGUGGUGACGGUACCUGCAGAAGAAGCACCGGCUAACUACGUG
rnacentral:rRNA from 1 species